UCCGUGGAGGUCUAGUGGUCACGUCUCAGGGCUCACACCACAGUGGCCCGGGUUCGAUUCCCAGCUAGAGAA